rnacentral:rRNA from 1 species
GAUGAACGCUAGCGGCAGGCCUAAUACAUGCAAGUCGAGGGGCAGCGGGUGUAGCAAUACAUGCCGGCGACCGGCGCACGGGUGCGUAACACGUAUGCAACCUACCUAUAACUGGAGAAUAGCCCGGAGAAAUCCGGAUUAACACUCCAUAUUAUCACGAAGAGGCAUCUCUUUGUGCUGAAAGCUCCGGCGGUUAUAGAUGGGCAUGCGUCCGAUAGCUGGUUGGUGAGGUAACGGCUCACCAAGGCGACGAUCGGUAGGGGAUCUGAGAGGAUCGACCCC